GGUAGCGAGAGUAUAGCUUUCGGGUAUAUAAAAGGAAAAAAAGCGCGAUUGUGGCAACUUUUCUUUGUCGUCUUCGGAGCCGGUCGUUGUUGAAGAAUGCAAGACCAUGUCUUUUAGUUCUGCAGUCCUAAUUAGAAAUAAAUAUUAAGCCGGGUCUGCUUUUCAUAUUUUUAAGAUAAAUACAACUGUUAUCAUUUAUGCUCCAAGCUUGUCAGUAAUGAAUUUCGAAGACUUUCAUUGUUCUCCCAAGCUCCUGGUUAGUGCCACAGUAUGCAUGUCGAUUUCAGUUUUCCUGACCACCUAGCAAUCUAGUUCACCUCUUCUAAUACCUAACAGUUUAGUCGUGGGGUCAAGUGUAGAGGAAGCAAGACAGAAAAAUUGUUACUAUCAACAUUAUCAAUAAUGGGUUGGUGAAGCAAAGAAGGUAUUUAUACAGAACCUUUUAUUUUGAAUGUAAGCAUUUUUAAGUUUUCAAAUAGUGGAAAUACUAAACUUAAUUUCUAGAAUAUUUUUUCCCUCAUGAGACAGAAAUUUUAUGAACUAAUUAGUCUGUAACUAAUGUUGAGUUACAUACAUGAACAAAAGUCCAUUAUAAUUUCUGAGCAUUUUGUGAACAAGAAUUUUUUAAAGAAUUAGUAUUCAUCAAACAAAAUUAAGUUUUCAGGAAGAUGAACAGCAAUAAAUAUUUGGUUUAACUCUAGAAACUAUUAGUACCAAUAAUGUUAACUUCCUGGUUAUGGACAUUACCUUGAACAGAAAACAAAAUUUACUUAACCUGUCCUACAUUGUUCCCGAUUUUAAGUUCAGGAAGUUUGUGUAAGAAUUAAAUAUUUAGUAUAAAUUACAAAAAACUUGCUGAAUCUAAAUAUAUAAAAUUGCUUGUCCUGACUGACUGA